AAACCAUGCAUCGGACAUUUCUGUAGCAAAUCUUUAAGUUGCUCCCAAGCUUCAUAAAGGUUUUCAUGUUCUAUUUGCAUGAAAGAUGUUAUGUUGUUUCUUAGCCU